GGUCUGGGUCAUGACUGGAGUGCAUGUGGACCUAUUCGUGGCUUUAUGAAAGGAAACCAAAACAUAUUCCUGCCUUGCUAUAGGGAAUUCUUUUAGGAAGAGUUUACGACCCGAAGAUUGGCUGUCUGUAUGUAAGAAGUGUUCCGGUUGGUACUGUCAUCGCACUGAAGAAGACCUUUCCAGUGCUUGCCUUAGGACUGGACAAAUUAUGUGAAACAUCUUUCAUGAGAGGCUCAGAAAAUGUUCGUCAGCUGCACGACGGGCCCUGUCCUGCUGUGUACUGUGCUGUGGUCAACGUGUCAGACAAGCACUUUGGGCUCAUGGGCGCCAUAUCUGACGCCACGGUGGGUCGCCCUUGUGGGAAAAUCAGGU